GGCCUGAUGCAGGCCUGGACGAUCAGAUUCAGGGUUUAUCUUGAAGCCUUGGUAGUCCCAACCUUUCCCUGACUUUCUCUUCAUUAGGCCCCUGGCCUUAUCCUCUCAGAACCUGGGAGCCUAGACCGAGGCCUUUUUCAAGAUACAGAGGGUUGUCAACAGGCAGGAGCCUCAGCUAGCCCUGAUGGCUCAGCUCUGGAGGGGACAAUGGUAGGACAGGUGGCUACAGAGGCAUAAAGGCCACGGUGUUUCUGGACCAGCCCCAGUGUCACCAGCUUUGGACUGGAAGUGGCUUAGGGGAGUGCUAGAGAGUGCUAGUGCUAGAGACCCCUUCCAGUAAGGACUCAGGCCCAUCGUCAUUUUAUCCCUCCCCUUGUGGCUUCCUGAGUGGGGGCGCGGUCACAUCUUGGGCAGCAGCCCACAGCUUCCAUAGCUUAGUAGGUCCAAGUCCACCUCAGGCCAGAAGGAGCUCAUUCUUUUGCCGUGAGCAAAGAGGGCCGCUGUCAUUUCCUUGUUCCAUGAUGAGGAUUCAGCUCACUCAAGACUUCUGAUGGCCUCAUGACAGCUUCUGGCUGUCAGAGCUCACAGACCAUCUGCUUGGAUUGCCCUGCGGCCCUCCUGUAGGGCACAGAUGCUGGCAAUAAUGUGUCCCAUUUGGCAGGCGAUAUGACAUUGCUUCUUGUAUCAUGUCAGGUGACUCAAAUAACGAUCAUGCCUGUUGACACUUGGAGCUCUCAGAGGGAAUUCUGAACAGCAAAGGAAAGAUGAAAUGAAACUCAAGGGUGCUUGUUCCAAACACUGCAGCAGCCCGCAUAACCAGCAAUGAAGCCAUUGCUAAAGUCAACAAUGAAAGAACUCUGGUAGGACAGAGCCCAGAUCCGUGGCGAUCCCACCUUUGCAUUUCCAUGGAAAUCAAGGCCCACAGAAGAAGAAACACAGAUUCUGAAAGGAAGAGAGAAAAAGGCAGACUAGCUAGAGAGCUUGGGGCCUGAGGAACACACAACAUGUAGUGGAAUCAAACUAGAAAUCAACAGCAGAAAAAAUAACAGGA
rnacentral:lncRNA from 1 species